rnacentral:rRNA from 1 species
CCGGCGACCGGCGCACGGGUGAGUAACACGUAUGCAAUCCACCUGUAACAGGGGGAUAACCCGGAGAAAUCCGGACUAAUACCCCAUAAUAUGGGCUCUCCGCAUGGAGGGUCCAUUAAAGAGAGCAAUUUUGGUUACAGACGAGCAUGCGCUCCAUUAGCCAGUUGGCGGGGUAACGGCCCACCAAAGCGACGAUGGAUAGGGGUUCUGAGAGGAAGGUCCCCCACGUUGGAACUGAGACACGGUCCAA